AUUGAACGCUGGCGGCAGGCUUAACACAUGCAAGUCGAGCGGUAGAGGGGAGCUUGCUUCCCUUGAGAGCGGCGGACGGGUGAGUAAUGCCUAGGAAUCUGCCUGGUAGUGGGGGACAACGUUCGGAAACGGACGCUAAUACCGCAUACGUCCUACGGGAGAAAGUGGGGGAUCUUCGGACCUCACGCUAUCAGAUGAGCCUAGGUCGGAUUAGCUAGUUGGUAGGGUAAAGGCCUACCAAGGCGACGAUCCGUAACUGGUCUGAGAGGAUGAUCAGUCACACUGGAACUGAGACACGGUCCAGACUCCUACGGGAGGCAGCAGUGGGGAAUAUUGGACAAUGGGCGCAAGCCUGAUCCAGCCAUGCCGCGUGUGUGAAGAAGGUCUUCGGAUUGUAAAGCACUUUAAGUUGGGAGGAAGUUCAGUAAGUUAAUACCUUGUUGAAUUGACGUUACCGACAGAAUAAGCACCGGCUAACUCUGUGCCAGCCGCCGCUGUAACAC
rnacentral:rRNA from 1 species